GUCGACUCAUUCUAUCCUGGAGUUGUAGAAGAUUCCAAGGGUUCGGCUGUUCGCCGAUGAAAAGGGUACGUGAGUUGGGUUUAGUGCGUUGAGAAACAAUAC
rnacentral:rRNA from 1 species